UACGUAGGGGGCAAGCGUUGUCCGGAAUCAUUGGGCGUAAAGCGCGUGUAGGCGGUUCGGUAAGUCCGCUGUGAAAGUCCAGGGCUCAACCCUGGGAUGCCGGUGGAUACUGUCGGACUAGAGUACGGAAGAGGCGAGUGGAAUUCCCGGUGUAGCGGUGAAAUGCGCAGAUAUCGGGAGGAACACCAGUGGCGAAGGCGG
rnacentral:rRNA from 1 species